rnacentral:rRNA from 1 species
CUGCUGCCUCCCGUAGGAGUCUGGUCCGUGUCUCAGUACCAGUGUGGGGGACCUUCCUCUCAGAACCCCUAUCCAUCGAUGCCUUGGUGGGCCGUUACCCCGCCAACAAGCUAAUGGAACGCAUCCCCAUCGAUGACCGAAAUUCUUUAAUAGUUCUACCAUGCGGAAGAACUAUGCCAUCGGGUAUUAAUCUUUCUUUCGAAAGGCUAUCCCCGAGUCAUCGGCAGGUUGGAUACGUGUUACUCACCCGUGCGCCGGUCG